rnacentral:rRNA from 1 species
GAUGAACGCUGGCGGCGUGCCUAAUACAUGCAAGUCGAGCGAACAGAUGCGGAGCUUGCUCCUCUGACGUUAGCGGCGGACGGGUGAGUAACACGUGGAUAACCUACCUAUCAGACUGGGAUAUCUUCGGGAAACCGGAGCUAAUACCGGAUAAUAUAUUGAACCGCAUGGUUCAUUAGUGAAAGUCGGUUUUGCUGUCACUUAUAGAUGGAUCCGCGCCGCAUUAGCUAGUUGGUAAGGUAACGGCUUACCAAGGCAACGAUGCGUAGCCGACCUGAGAGGGUGAUCGGCCACACGGGAACUGAGACACGGUCCAGACUCCUACGGGAGGCAGCAGUAGGGAAUCUUCCGCAAUGGGCGAAAGCCUGACGGAGCAACGCCGCGUGAGUGAUGAAGGUCUUCGGAUCGUAAAACUCUGUUAUUAGGGAAGAACAAAUGUGUAAGUAACUAUGCACGUCUUGACGGUACCGAAUCAGAAAGCCACGGCUAACUACGUG